rnacentral:snRNA from 1 species
AUACCCGGCCGUCGGGGCA